rnacentral:tRNA from 1 species
GCCCACAUAGCUCAGUAGGUAGAGCACUUCCUUGGUAAGGAAGAGGUCACCGGUUCAAAUCCGGUUGUGGGCU